GACGAACGCGGCGGCGUGCCUAAUACAUGCAAGUCGAACGAGAGCGACCGGUGCUUGCACUGGUCAAUCUAGUGGCGAACGGGUGAGUAACACGUGGGUAACCUCCCAUCAGAGGGGGAUAACAUUCGGAAACGGAUGCUAAAACCGCAUAGGUUCUACAGUCGCAUGACUGAAGAAGGAAAAGAGGCUUCGGCUUCUGCUGAUGGAUGGACCCGCGGUGCAUUAGCUAGUUGGUGAGGUAACGGCUCACCAAGGCCGUGAUGCAUAGCCGACCUGAGAGGGUGAUCGGCCACAUUGGGACUGAGACACGGCCCAAACUCCUACGGGAGGCAGCAGUAGGGAAUCUUCCGCAAUGGACGCAAGUCUGACGGAGCAACGCCGCGUGAGUGAAGAAGGAUUUCGGUUCGUAAAACUCUGUUGUUAGAGAAGAACAGCGCAUAGAGUAACUGUUAUGCGUGUGACG
rnacentral:rRNA from 1 species